rnacentral:rRNA from 1 species
GAUCCUGGCUCAGGAUGAACGCUGGCGGCGUGCUUAACACAUGCAAGUCGAACGAAGCACUUUGAUCGAUUUCUUCGGAUUGAAAUUUUAGUGACUGAGUGGCGGACGGGUGAGUAACGCGUGGGUAACCUGCCUCACACAGGGGGAUAACAGUUGGAAACGACUGCUAAUACCGCAUAAGCGCACAGUGCCGCAUGGCACGGUGUGAAAAACUCCGGUGGUCUGGGAUGGACCCGCGUCCGAUUAGUUAGUUGGUGGGGUAACGGCCCACCAAGACUGCGAUCGGUAGCCGACCUGAGAGGGUGACCGGCCACAUUGGGACUGAGACACGGCCCAGACUCCUACGGGAGGCAGCAGUGGGGAAUAUUGCACAAUGGAGGAAACUCUGAUGCAGCGACGCCGCGUGAGCGAAGAAGUAUUUCGGUAUGUAAAGCUCUGUCAGCAGGGAAGAUAAUGACGGUACCUGACCAAGAAGCCCCGGCUAACUACGUG